CCAAAAGAAAAAACAUUUGAUGAUAAAGACAAGGGAAACAAAGAACAACUCUUUACAUACAAACCCCAAAACCCUCUUUUCAUUUUGAACAACAAUUGAUGUUAAGGGCAAAAAACUCCAUGUGAUUGAAGGAAAGGUAAAGCAGAGACCAUGAGAAAGUUUCCCCAACUUCACACCCAGAACAGAACAAACACACAGAUUGCAGGUUUUAGGUUUUCUUUCUUUCAAAUGGGUCUGGAAGAAACUGUAGAAGAUAAGCAAAAGCACGCCAAGAAAGAAAGAAGAUGAAAAACAAAACAAAACCCAUCUCAGUUUUUGAGGUGUAUCUUUGAUGUGUCCUCUAUCCUGAACAACGUUCCAAGCAAAGCUAGCUGGCGAAACGAAUCCGUACAAUGAUUGACUUGUGUUCCUUUUUUUUUUUUUUUUCUUAUGGAGAAAUGCUUGGUUCCCAUUUCCUCUUUGUUGGUAUUUUCUUAGCCAUUGAUUUCUUAGUAAGUAAACUCGUGUUUUUUUCCUGCUUUUCUUGGUUGGAUUUGAUAUGUUGUUUACAUCAUUGUUCUAGAGAUUUGAACCUUAAUUCUUUUAGUGAAUAUGCUUGGCUGUAUUGAAUUGAAACAUAAAGCUUAGGAGUGUAAAGUCCUAGCAUGUUAGAGCCAUAAUAUUUAUCCCAGUUCACCUUGAUAUCCUUUAAACAAUAAAGUGAUUGUUAAUAUCGAUUGCUUGUUCAACCUUGUAAAUUACGUAAUUGUGGGAUGCUUUUCUGGAUUUUCCUUCCAAGCUAUGGAAAAUGUCAAGAUCAAGUCAUACAUACUGUAGUAAUGGUACGUGUAUUUGUAAUGAUGUUUAGUUUGGCAUGUCUAUAAACGAGACUAAAGGACUAGUAACAAACGGAUGGAAGUUUAGUGUAUUGGUUGGUUACGCCAGGGAUUGUAUUAGUUCUUCAAUCUGUAAACAGCCAGGAUGAAAUAUUUUUUGGUAUCAAGCAUAUCCCUGAUGACCUGUUUGUUUUGUUUUGUAGUGACUGUUUCGGAAUGUUGUUAUUGCAAUCACAAGGAUUGGCUCGAAUUCUUUGCCUACUUACUGCUUCAUCCUUGCAGGUUGGAAGAAACCGACAAGAAUCUUGAAUUUUAUGGAGAGGAGAAGAAUCUCACCAUUCCAGCCUAGUUGAAUGGUCCAAAGACGGCUGCAAAAGAAUAAAGAUAGCUUAUUAUAUGGAAUCGUUGGAGCCAGUGAGCUUUGAAUUUUGAGUUUGCUGUUUUGUUCUCCUCCAAGUUUUGUAUACUAGUGAAAGUUAAAGAAUUAGAAAAAUCAUGUGCUUGUGGAAUAUCUAGAGGGAAAGUUUUGCUUGUAUCAUUAAGUUUGAGAGUGAUCGUGUUGAACUUAUUGACAGUGUUCAAGGACUGCAUAGACCGUUUGGGAACGUCAUAAUGUUCUUUGAUACAAUCCUGUUAUGUUGCUUAUUGUUUACGUAUGAAUAGCAUCGAGAAGAUACACAAAAGCUCACCGAACUCUCGUGUGUGUGACACAAAGAUUCUCCUCUGUUUAAUAUCUGUGAUCAUUGUGUUGAGAUAAUGUCAAAACCUUUCAUUCA